GAUGAAGAACGUAACGAAAUGCGAUAAGUAGUGUGAAUUGCAGAAUUCAGUGAAUCAUCGAAUCUUUGAACGCACAUUGCGCCCCUUGGUAUUCCAUGGGGCAUGCCUGUUCGAGCGUCAUCUACAACCCUCAAGCCCUGCUUGGUGUUGGGCGUCUGUCCCGCCCCCGCGCGCGGACUCGCCCCAAAUCCAUUAGCGGCGGCCCUUGCCUCCCUCUCGCGCAGCACAUUGCGCUUCUCGAGGCGUCGCGGGCCGCGCUCCACGAAGCACGCAAACCAGUCUUUGACCUCGGAUCAGGUAGGGAUACCCGCUGAACUUAAGCAUAUCAAUAAGUGGAGGA
rnacentral:misc_RNA from 1 species